rnacentral:rRNA from 1 species
GACGAACGCUGGCGGCGUGCCUAAUACAUGCAAGUAGGACGCAGUUGCGAACGGGUGAGUAACGCGUAGGUAACUACCUAGUAGAGGGGGAUAACUAUUGGAAACGAUAGCUAAUACCGCCUACUAGUAGAUGGACCUGCGUUGUAUUAGCUAGUAGGUAGGGUAAUGGCCUACCUAGGCAACGGUACAUAGCCGAGCCUGGGAGGUGGACGGCCACCCCGGGAACGGAGCAAGGGCCCGACUCCCGCGGGAAGGCGGAGUUGGGGAACUUCGGAAAAGGGGGGAACGCUGAACGAACAACGCCGGGGGAGAGGAGGAAGGUUUCGGAUUGUAAAACUCUGUUGUGAAGGGAGCGUUACUUAACCAGAAAGGAACGGCUAACUACGUGCCAGCAGCCGCGGUAAUUC